GCGAGCUAGCUGAUGUUACUUGCUUCUCGUUUCCGUAUAGAAAAACUCAUAAACGUGCACUUCAGCGUUCAGCGAGGUUGAAGACACAGGCCCCCGUGAUUGCUGCUGUGCCAAAUGACAUACGGCGAUAACUUGAGGGCACAAGGUUGAAGGGACCGACGCGGGAACAUAGGUCGGCAUUUUCCUAAGAAAUUCAACGUCACAUCAUGGUCGCAUUUACGCA